rnacentral:rRNA from 1 species
GUUGAACGCUAGCGGGAUGCUUUACACAUGCAAGUCGAACGGCAGCGCGGACUUCGGUCUGGCGGCGAGUGGCGAACGGGUGAGUAAUGUAUCGGAACGUGCCCAGUAGCGGGGGAUAACUACUCGAAAGAGUGGCUAAUACCGCAUAUGCCCUAAGGGGGAAAGCAGGGGAUCUUCGGACCUUGCACUAUUGGAGCGGCCGAUAUCGGACUAGCUAGUUGGUGGGGUAAAGGCCUACCAAGGCGACGAUCCGUAGCUGGUUUGAGAGGACGACCAGCCACACUGGGACUGAGACACGGCCCAGACUCCUACGGGAGGCAGCAGUGGGGAAUUUUGGACAAUGGGGGAAACCCUGAUCCAGCCAUCUCGCGUGUGCGAUGAAGGCCUUCGGGUUGUAAAGCACUUUUGUCAGGAAAGAAAUCGCUCGGGCUAAUAUCCUGAGUGGAUGACGGUACCUGAAGAAUAAGCACCGGCUAACUACGUGCCAGCAGCCGCCGUAAAAC